AUCGGGUAUUGAGAACGGAGGCGGAGAUCGGAGAGAAGAUUACGUCGCCGGAGAUCGGCGGAGGAGUAAAAAGCGGAGGACGGAGAGAAAAAGGGAUAAAAUAAAGAGAGAGAUAUGAAGGGGAUGCGAAAAU
rnacentral:sRNA from 1 species